CAUCACCGUUUGCUGCGACAGGAGAAGAAGAACAGAGAGAGCGUUAAAAGGACGGAUCAGGAUUCUCACUGUUCAUACGGACUCCUGACGGCUGUCUGAAGACAAUCACUGCUGAGGAAGACUGCGACAGAAAGCUCCAGAACAAACAUGAAACCAAACGACAGACGAGUGAUGAAGAGCGAGAGCGCCUCUCCCUCACCUCUCCCUGGCUCGGACAGAGUCGGAGGAUCCGGUGACUGUCGAACUCCUCCAGUUUCACCGCCUGAUGAAAGCUGCACUCGUCCACACGGACGGCGGCUCCGUAACCUGGAGACGACAAACAGUCAGACGCUCGUUUUGUUUCCUGAUGUCGGACUCUGAACGCUGCUGGUUUUAAUAAUAAGUGUUGUUGUUAUUUCAGACACUCGGAUGAAUGAACAGAUGUCAUUUCCAUCUGGCUGAGAUCUGAUCACAGCAGCUGAUCCAGAUGUGGAUGAUCAGUUCUGUGCGUUAACAUCUGUUUGUCUUGAUCCAGAUCACGUGUCUAUCUAUCAAUAAAACUCUCAUUUCCACCUUUAAACAAA